GGGGGCGAAAUAGGUCUCGACAGGGGGCAGGAGUGAGAAAAGCUGCCGACCGAGUCGCCGGAGGCUCGUUAAAAACCGGCAAAAAGACAGCUGCCACAACAGCUAAUUGUCUGGCUGCAUAAAUUUGCAGCCACCUGACAGAAUGCCUGCCCUCGGCAUUCUGACCCAGGUCGGAUGAGGGCUCGUUUCAGUUUCCGUCGCCUCAGGAAACUGAAAUUAAAAACAAUGGGGCAGGUGCUCCAGUAUCCUGUCUCGGGGAGACUGGAGACACUUGAUAAAACCGGGACUAUGUCGGUAGAUGCUUUUCUACUUCCCCUCUGGACGCGGGGGCAGUACCCGCCGCCUCCACUG
rnacentral:tmRNA from 1 species